rnacentral:lncRNA from 1 species
CAAACUCCUGGGCUCAAGCAAUCCUCUUACCUCAGCCUCUCAAGUAGCUGGGACUACAGGCUUUCUAUUAUGACCUGGACAAGCAAACGCGCUGUGUGGAAAGGCACAUUCGGAAGAUGGAGUUUCACAUCAGCAAGGUGGAUGAGCUGUACGAGGACUACUGCAUCCAGUGCCGCCUGCGCGACGGCGCCUCCAGCAUGCAGCGGGCCUUCGCCCGGUGCCCCCCGAGCCGCGCAGCCCGAGAGAGCCUGCAGGAGCUGGGCCGCAGCCUGCACGAGUGCGCCG